rnacentral:rRNA from 1 species
CAAUAGCGUAUAUUAUUGAUGUUGCAGUUGAAACGUUCGUAGUCGAAUCUUAUCUGCCAAAGCAUUGUGUCAUUUAUGAUGACAUAAUGCUCUCGGCAGAGAUUGUACAAGCAUGUCUGACCUUGUAUCUUACUUUGAGUGAAUCGGCGUGUUCCACGCAGGCAUGUGCCUUGAACGAUUUACCAUAGCAUAAUCAGAGUAUGGAACUGCUUCCUUGUUUGUUCGGAAGCUCUUUCGAUACUGAUAGGAACGGUUGAGGGCAUUCGUAUUCGACUGCUAGAGGUGAAAUUCUUUGAUUAGUCGAGGACGAACUAUUGCGAAAGCAUCUGCCAAGGACGUUUCCUUUGA